rnacentral:rRNA from 1 species
GUCGUUGGCCAUACCACCCUGGCUGUGCCUGAUCUUGCCUGAUCUCAGAAGCUAAGCAAGAUCGGGCCUGGUUAUUACUGAAUGGGAGACCACCUGGGAAUACCAGGCUCUGUAGGCU